UGGCUGAAUCUGUCAGUAUUAAAACUCUUCUGUAUUGCUGGAGUAAGGAAAAGAAACCAGGUAACACUUGCUUUCUAUAAAAGGUAAAUUGAUUAAACUGUCUGUAGAACAACAAGAAUUUUUGUAAUUUCAGGAGAAAUGGGACUGCUAAACAUCACCUCAACAUAAGGAGGUUUCUGUAACUGAAAAAGAAGACUUGUUUUCCAACUGUCAUAUUGGUCUUCAUCAGACAGUUCACCAACUGUGUUCUCAUUGCCUCUCUUACUUCAGAAGAAAACAUUUGUUUAAUUUCAUGAAGUCACCUUGCCACUAAAAGAAAUAAAUAUUGCCAGGCACACAGAAUGGUCUUUGCAUGACUAUGCUGCUGGUGGCAAAGGAAAGGAGUUUUGCUAGGUAGACUAGUCCCUACUGUGGAAAUAGCAGCACCAUUCCAGAAAAGGCUGUCAAUCACAUGUGCGUUUUGUUCCAGUGCAGUAUUAGAUUGGAUUCAAAUCCCUCGUCUGUAAAAAGGUAAUGAUCUACCUUGUCAGGAUAAAAUGUAUUUGUCACAACUCAGGAUUUCUCCUUGUU
rnacentral:lncRNA from 1 species